CACGUAGGGGGCCAGCGUUGUCCGGAAUUACUGGGCGUAAAGAGCGCGUAGGCGGUUUAGUAAGCGGAGGGUGAAAUUCCGGGGCUCAACUCCGGAGCUGCUCUCCGAACUGCUAGACUAGAGUUCGGGAGAGGGUAGUGGAAUUCCUGGUGUAGCGGUGGAAUGCGUAAAUAUCAGGAAGAACACCCGUGGCGAAGGCUGCUACCUGGAACGAUACUGACGCUGAGGCGCGAAAGCUAGGGGAGCGAACGGG
rnacentral:rRNA from 1 species